rnacentral:rRNA from 1 species
UACGAAGGGGCUAGCGUUGUUCGGAAUUACUGGGCGUAAAGCGUGCGCAGGCGGCUUCUCAAGUCAGGGGUGAAAGCCCAGAGCUCAACUCUGGAAUUGCCUUUGAGACUGAGUGGCUUGAGUACGAGAGAGGUGAGUGGAAGUUCCCAAGUGUAGAGGUGAAAUUCGUAGAUAUCGGGAAGAACACCCGUGGCGAAGGCGGCUCUCUGGGAC